AUGGCUUCUAGAAACACCGUUGUAUUCCUCCUCGGACUGUUCCUCUCGUCCGUCGCGAUGAGCAACGCGGCAAGAAUGCUAGAGGAGGAGAUGGCUCUGUCCAAAGGCGAGGAGCACCAGCCCGAGCUGCCAACGCUGCCCAAGGUUGAACUGCCACCAUUCCCGGAGGUGCACCUGCCACCUAAGCCUGAGCUGCCCAAGGUAGAGCUGCCGACAUUUCCGGAGGUGGACCUGCCACCCAAGCCCGAGAUCCCAACGUUCCCGGAGGUGCACCUUCCAGCCAAGCCUGAGCUGCCCAAGGUGGAGCUACCACCAAAGCCCGAGAUGCCUACCAUCCCCGAGUUCCACUUCCUUGAGCCGGAGGCUAAGCCAUGA
rnacentral:rRNA from 1 species